AUACUGUACAUGUAUAAUUAUGCAUAGCACCUGCGUAAAGUCUUCAGUCUUCACCUGUUCACAGACAUUGUCAAAACAAUGUAAAAGUUGGAAUCUGUUCGGUCCACAUGUCCACAUGUCAAGCCACAUGUUGCCAUAAUCUGAUGAGAGUACCUCCUCAUGGAGCAUUGAUGAAGGACCAGGCAAGAAGAUAUAGACAUGAUGGCUAAUACCCUGAAGGUCACUUUAUGGAAAAUUUGAGGUGUCUUUAUAUAGACGUGAUAGAACUUUCUCCUAACCAUCACCGUGCAGAUAUAGCAGUGAGGAUAGAAGGAACAUACAUGUAUGCUGUCUACACUAGAAACCUGUCUUCUGCAGUGACUGCAUCUUUUAGGUAUUCAAGAUAUGAUGUGUAAGCAUAAAACAUAUUCCAAUACCAGCAUAUUUUACAAUAUUGUUGCUUACAAUUUUAGGAAAUUUUAUACCUUUCAACUGUUCAAAUGUAAUUUGAACUAUUUCAGUUUAUAAGUUUAGAGUCCUCAGAAAUUGGAACAUUCUUAUAUCCAUAAGAAGGAAAUAAACAUGAAAAGUCAUUACUAAAAGAGGGCACUAUUUGCAGAAAGAGAAGGUGCUACUGGUAUUUUCUUGAAGGAGGACCUGCAUGUAUUUGCUGUGUCAAUAUUGCACUUGCACACUGUCAAUAGCUUCUCUCGCGCAGGUGCUUCUCUCACUGUGGAUCAUUUAAUGGGGGUUUCAAUUUCUGACUUUCCAAUAAGGGCAGGGAGCCCAAAUAGAAGAUUUCAAAUGAAGACACUCAAGCUAAAGAGGGUAAUACAUGUAAGAUGCUGAACCAAAUUACUGAAGAUGUGCAGUCUGCUUUAUUAACAUUUGAAGAAGACUCCUGCAU
rnacentral:lncRNA from 1 species